rnacentral:rRNA from 1 species
AUUGAACGCUGGCGGCAGGCCUAACACAUGCAAGUCGAGCGGAUGACGGAAGCUUGCUCCUUGAUUCAGCGGCGGACGGGUGAGUAAUGCCUAGGAAUCUGCCUGGUAGUGGGGGACAACGUUUCGAAAGGAGCGCUAAUACCGCAUACGUCCUACGGGAGAAAGCAGGGGACCUUCGGGCCUUGCGCUAUCAGAUGAGCCUAGGUCGGAUUAGCUAGUUGGUGGGGUAAUGGCUCACCAAGGCGACGAUCCGUAACUGGUCUGAGAGGAUGAUCAGUCACACUGGAACUGAGACACGGUCCAGACUCCUACGGGAGGCAGCAGUGGGGAAUAUUGGACAAUGGGCGAAAGCCUGAUCCAGCCAUGCCGCGUGUGUGAAGAAGGUCUUCGGAUUGUAAAGCACUUUAAGUUGGGAGGAAGGGCAGUAAGUUAAUACCUUGCUGUUUUGACGUUACCGGCAGAAUAAGCACCGGCUAACUCUGUGCCAGCCGCCGCCGUAACAC